GGUUUUGUGCAAAAAAACCCUCGAAGUAGCCAAUUUUUGCAAGAAAACCCUCCAUCUCAAAUAAAUGCAAGUCAAUACCGCCAUCUCAAAAGUCACCCGCAAUAUAGCCUUCGCGUGUAUCGAUGACGUGGCAGCCGUUAACUCCGUCAGUGGGUUUGUGCAAAAAAACCCUCGAAGUAGCCAAAUUGCAAAAAAACCCUUCAUUAAACCAAUUUUUGCAAAAAAAAACCUUUCGGAUAUUUUAAAAUUUGGGUACGGGUUCGGGUUUUACAGAAUUCUUCUGUUAAACCCUAGAUUUUUCCUUCUCGUAUAAAUGGCUCCACCAUGUCUUACUUUGAUCAUGCCAAUGAUCAUAAAUUUAAGAAGAUAUCAAAAUCGAUUAUUACCAUAUUGUUUCCUUUGCUUCCCUGUACAAUCGAAUUCUCCAACAGUCGCUUUUUCAAAACAAACCUUGGCUACUUUGAGGGUUUUUUUUGCACAAAAUUUGGCUACUUUGAAGGUUUUUUUGCACAAAAGUUCACUUGUCGUGCCGUUUUGGAACGGAGUUAACGGCUGCCACGUCAUCGAUACACGCGAGUGCUAUAUUGCGGGUGACUUUUGAGAUGGUGGUAUUGACUUGCAUUUAUUUGAGAUGGAGGGUUUUCU
rnacentral:lncRNA from 1 species